UUUUUAAUAGCUCAGUCGGUAGAGCACGAGACUUUUAAUCUCAGGGUUGUGGGUCGAUCAAGGUUCCUGCAUUGAAGAG